GCCACAGGUAGACAUGUUUGGCCAGCAAACUCAUCCUUGUCGGACAAAUUAUAAUCAAGAACUUUGAUACGAAGUAGAGCUAACUCAGGAACGGUUAGUGGAAACUCAAACUGCUCAUUCCAGCUUGGUAUCCAAUUGUCGUCUAUCGUCUCUGUUCUCUUCUUUACUUCAUCAGCAGGAACUCCAGCAAUUCCUAGCUUUGCAUAGAAAUCUGGAGGUGAGUACGUGUCAAAGUCUGUCUGAUCGAAGUCUUUGUCCCACCCAUCACCCAUAUAUACAGUCACCUUUAGUGUAGUUUUGACAGGCAAAUUUGCUGUAGGAUCGAAGACCUCAUUGUCGGGACCAGCUUUCAAUAGUAGAUCAGGUUUCUUAACAUAUCCACAGCCACCAUUAGCCCUGAACAUACCAUGCAUCAACCAAAG
rnacentral:misc_RNA from 1 species